UCUCUGUAGGUGAACCUGCGGAGGGAUCAUUACUGAGUGCGGGCUUCGGUCCGACCUCCCAACCUUUUUGAAACAAACUUGUUGCUUCGGGGGCGACCCUGCCGCUUCGGCGGUGCGGCGCCCCCGGAGGCCAUUAAACACUGCAUCAUUGCGUCGGAGUUAAAGUAAAUUAAACAAAACUUUCAACAGCGGAUCUCUUGGUUCCAGCAUCGAUGAAGAACGCAGC
rnacentral:misc_RNA from 1 species